AGCGAACGCUGGCGGCAUGCCUAACACAUGCAAGUCGCACGGGGGGGCUUCGGCCUCCCAGUGGCGGACGGGUGAGGAACGCGUAGGGACCUGUCGAGGGGUGGGGGAUAACCGCGGGAAACUGCGGCUAAUACCGCAUGACGCCGCGGCGUGACAGCCGGGGCCAAAGGCGAAAGCCGCCCGCCGAGGGGCCUGCGUCCGAUUAGCUGGUUGGCGGGGUAGCGGCCCACCAAGGCGUCGAUCGGUAGCUGGUCUGAGAGGGUGAUCAGCCACACCGGGACUGAGACACGGCCCGGACUCCUACGGGAGGCAGCAGUGGGGAAUAUUGGACAAUGGGCGCAAGCCUGAUCCAGCAAUGCCGCGUGGGUGAAGAAGGUCUUCGGAUUGUAAAGCCCUCUCGGCGGGGACGAUGGUGACGGUACCCGCAGAAGAAGCCCCGGCUAACUUCGUG
rnacentral:rRNA from 1 species